GAGACUCUGUGCGCGUGCAUAUCAAUAAGCGGAGGAAAAGAAACUAACAAGGAUUCCCUUAGUAACGGCGAGUGAAGCGGGAAGAGCUCAAAUUUGAAAUCUUCAAGGUUUUACCUUGACGAAUUGUAGUUUAAAGAAGUGUUUUCUGUUGGAGUUUUGGUAAAAGUUCUUUGGAAUAGGACAUCAUAGAGGGUGAGAAUCCCGUAUUUGACCAUUAUUUCCAGCUGUGUGAUACACUUUCAAAGAGUCGGAUUGUUUGGGAAUGCAGUCCAAAAUGGGUGGUAAAUUUCAUCUAAAGCUAAAUAUUGGCGAGAGACCGAUAGCGAACAAGUACCGUGAGGGAAAGAUGAAAAGAACUUUGAAAAGAGAGUUAAACAGUACGUGAAAUUGUCAAAAGGGAAGCGUUUGACACCAGUGUUGUUUAGUUGAAAAUCAAUUUAAUAAUGGUUUGAUUCUAGUAGUAUUGACUUUAUCAGCUUUCUGCACUUUCUUCUCGAUAUUAUUUAAUGCACUUUUCAGUUAACAAGUCAACAUCAAUUUCUUUUGUUGUAAAAGAGGUAAUAGGAAGGUGGCUUUCUCUUCGGCGCAAGUGUCUAUAGCCUUUGACCUCUGCAAUCGGAGAGAUUGAGGUCUGCAGCGUAGACUCUUCGGGGUUAGAUACAUUUGUGCUAAGCUAUAGCCUUGUAUAGACAACUUGUUGACUAUGCUCAGUCAUGUAGCUUACUCGCAUGAUGCUAUUUUACCUACGCUUAGGAUGUUGAAGUCAUCGUAUCGCGC
rnacentral:rRNA from 1 species